CUAAUCCGUCAUCCCGGCGGAGGCCGGGAUCUCGGGAGGCUCCUGCGAUGAGUUCAUCUCCUCUCUCUCCUGAGGCCCCGGCCUCCGCCGGGGCGACGGUGCGA
rnacentral:pre_miRNA from 1 species